GACGACGCUGGCGGCAGGCCUAACACAUGCAAGUCGAGCGAGCGGCGGACGGGUGAGUAAUGUAUGGGGAACUGCCCGAUAGAGGGGGAUAACUACUGGAAACGGUGGCUAAUACCGCAUACUAUCGGAUGAACCCAUAUGGGAUUAGCUAGUAGGUGGGGUAAAGGCUCACCUAGGCGACGAUCGCUAGCUGGUCUGAGAGGAUGACCAGCCACACUGGGACGGAGAGACGGCCCAGACUCCUACGGGAGGCAGCAGUGGGGAAUAUUGCACAAUGGGCGCAAGCCGGAUGCAGCCAUGCCGCGUGUAUGAAGAAGGCCUUAGGGGUGUAAAGUACUUUCAGUGGGGAGGCGUUACCCGCAGAAGAAGCACCGGCUAACUCCGUGCCAGCAGCCGCGGUAAUAC
rnacentral:rRNA from 1 species